rnacentral:rRNA from 1 species
CUUACACAUGCAAGUCGAACGGAAAGGCCCAAGCUUGCUUGGGUACUCGAGUGGCGAACGGGUGAGUAACACGUGGGUGAUCUGCCCUGCACUUCGGGAUAAGCCUGGGAAACUGGGUCUAAUACCGGAUAGGACSAUGGUUUGGAUGCCAUUGUGGAAAGUUUUUUCGGUGUGGGAUGAGCUCGCGGCCUAUCAGCUUGUUGGUGGGGUAAUGGCCUACCAAGGCGUCGACGGGUAGCCGGCCUGAGAGGGUGUACGGCCACAUUGGGACUGAGAUACGGCCCAGACUCCUACGGGAGGCAGCAGUGGGGAAUAUUGCACAAUGGGCGCAAGCCUGAUGCAGCGACGCCGCGUGGGGGAUGACGGCCUUCGGGUUGUAAACUCCUUUCGCUAGGGACGAAGCGUUUUUGUGACGGUACCUGGAGAAGAAGCACCGGCUAACUACGUGCCAGCAGCCGCGGUAAUACGUAGGGUGCGAGCGUUGUCCGGAAUUACUGGGCGUAAAGAGCUCGUAGGUGGUUUGUCGCGUCGUUUGUGUAAGCCCGCAGCUUAACUGCGGGACUGCAGGCGAUACGGGCAUAACUUGAGUGCUGUAGGGGAGACUGGAAUUCCUGGUGUAGCGGUGGAAUGCGCAGAUAUCAGGAGGAACACCGAUGGCGAAGGCAGGUCUCUGGGCAGUAACUGACGCUGAGGAGCGAAAGCAUGGGUAGCGAACAGGAUUAGAUACCC